AUUACUGCUUUUUUUUUUCUGUUGGAAGGACAAUAAAGAGCUUUAAUAUCUACUAAUCUUUGACAACAUGCUUCUGAUUUGUAUCCAUCAUCCAGAUCUAUUUAAUCUCCUUAAUCACCGGCCUUGCUGCCUUUAUGGUUUAAAUAUUUCAUUGAGCAUACUCUCUCAGUGUACCUUUUUAUUUCUCCCAUGACAUUUUAAAGACACACGAGACAGUUUUAAAAGAGAUAUAGAGAGUAAUUUAUUAUUUGAUGUGAUUUUCUUUCAAUACCUAAAAAAACAAAUUCCCUCCCUGUUAGUCCUCCCCUGGAGCUAGGAUAGUUGAGGAAUGCAGGUGUCCAGACUUGAAAGAGGAGGAUUAAAUCGGCAACAGAGGUGACAUUCACCCUGUCCAAUUGAUGAAGCCACGAUGGAAUAGCUAGAGACAGACUUAUCUCUUUCUACACCAUUCUUUUUGGUCCAUGCUAUCAUAGAAACAUUCUAUUGAUUUGCCAUCUGCGGCUCCUAAUAUUAGUAAGAAAAUACAGUAAAGGGUGUGAAAAUGAAGAUGAAAGAUAUUUAAUUUUCUAGUUUUGCAGUGGAAAGCUGCAGACUCUUGUAGUGAGAUUUUUAUGGCAAGCAGUUGAAGCUCAUCCUCCUAGGUUUGGUAUUUUAACUGAAUAAGCCUCAUAUUUGUGGGUUUAUUUUUUUCCUUAGUUAUCAGAGCUGCUACUUUUUCUACUCUUCCUAAAUAAUGGCAUUCUGGUCACCGGCCACAUCAGGCAUAUAAAGUAUUCCCUAUUUAUAUAUGAAUUUCUCUAGAGACAUUAGAAGGAUGUAAACAACACUAUGCGAGAGGCUGUUUGUUUCUUCGGCUCCUUUUAUCUACAGUAUGAAUGCAGUGUCCCCCCACAUGCAUAUGUUAGAGCCUAAUACUCAGUGUAAUAGUAUUAAGAGGCGGUACCUUUGGGAAGUGAUUAACUCAUGAGGGCUCCACCUGAAUGAAUAGGAUUAGUGCCCUUAUAAAAGAGGCUUGAGGGUGCUUUCUUGCUCCUUCUGUCUUGUAAGGACUCACAGAAGGCACCAUCUAUGAAGAACCGGCUCUCACUAGAUGCUGAGUCUGCUGGCACCUUGAUCUUGGACUACCCAGUCUCCAGAACUAUUAGCAGCCCUCUUCAAAACCCUCUGGCUGUGGACCCACAUGGAGCAGCAAACCUCAGUGUUACAUUAAAUGAGAUAAACUUCAUAAAGUACCUGGCACAUAGCUCAGUACAUGUUGGCUCCCUUUCCCCUUGUGAUAUGAUGUAAAAUAUCUUUGGUCUUUUUUCCUGGUUCCUAUCAUAGCUUCUAAAACCCCUAGAAUUUCCUGGGUGAUAGGAACAUCUUUGUUAUUCAUAAUGAGCUCCUUUAAUAACUCCAGCAUUUAUACUAAUAAGGUGACUUAGUGUGGGGGCCCUAGUUAGUCUCAGGAUAGGACCAGUCACCAGAAAGACCAAGUGAUUAGAGGAUUGGAACUUUCAACCCUACCCUCCAACCUCCAAGGAGGGGAGGGAGGGUGUUGCUGAACAUCAAGCUCUAUAAACACUCAAACAAGAGUUGAUGAGCUUUGGGACUGCUAAACACUAGGAGACGCCAGGAGGGUGGCUCACCUAGACACGGCGUGGAAGCUCUGCAACCGCUCUGCCAUACCUUGCCCUGUGCUUCUCUUCGUCUGGCUGUUUAUCUGUAUCCUUUGUAAUAUCGUUUGUACUAAACUGGUAAAACAGUUAAUAAGCUGGUAAAUGUUUCCCUGAAUUCCAUGAGCCAUCCCAGCAAAUUAAUCAAAUCCCAGCAGAAAGUUGAGGGAAUCUCAGUUUAUAGCCGGUUGGUGAAAAAUAAAGGUGGCCCAGACUUGCAAUUGGCCUCUGAAGUGAGAGCAGUUUUGUGGGACUGAGCCCACAACCACUGGGAUCUGAUGCUAUAUCCAGGUAGAUAGAAUCAGAAUUGGAUUCUAGGAUACCCAGAGAGGGUCUGCUGGAGAAUUGCUUGGUGUACGGGGAAAAACACACAUCUGGUCUAAGAAGUGUUCUGUAUUGAGUAAAUAGGGAGCAGAGAGAGUAGGAAAAAACCUUUUUUUUUCCUUUUACACUCUGUUAUUCUCUCUGGAAAACUCACUCCAGUACAUUAUGAGUUGGGUAUUAGUAGUGAGUUCAUAUGUAAUUUUUUUUUGUGGUUUUUUUUCCCCAUUGAAAAUAAACUAUUUUUGCAACUAGAGAAAAAAUUUUCCUUAUAACACCCAUAUGUCUGACCAAACCACUCCCCUCUUACUGGCUUUUCAUUGCCCAAACUUCUAAGUAUGGCUUACAAGACCCUCUGUGAGUUGACCUUGAUCUAGCUGUGUAACCUUAUCUAUUGCUCUACCACCUUCCCCACACAUCCCAUCCUCUGGCAACUUCAAACCUCUUCCAGGUCCCUGACAAGCCAUGCUGUUGCUUGUUUCUUGGUGACCCAUGCCCACCAAUCCUCCCCUUCCACCGAGUGCCCACACACAACACACACACUCUAGAAUACCUGGCCAAUUCUCAUUUCUCAAAACUCAGUUCAAACACAUCCACUUUUAAUCCUUUUCUUAUUUAAGUCUCCAAACUAAAAGUAAACAUGCUCUGCUUCAUCACUCCUUGUCCAUUUAGACAUUUGCCAGAGCACCUGAGAUACUUGAUUAUAUUUAUUUGCUGACUCAUCUUGUCUCCCUCUAAGUGACUGUGGACUCCUUUACGUGCAAAGACUGUGUCUUUUAGUUGACAUACAGGAGAUGCUCAAUUAAAUAUUCUCUAACAGAGAAGCAGUGUAGUAGACUUUAGGAUGGGUGGAGAGGAGGGAUAUAGGCCCACAGCCCCAACUGCCUUUAUAGAGCCUGACAUUACUUCAUGGGAAGAAUGUAAUUAAGUGGGAUAAGAAGAGAAAGAAUUAUAAUAAAAGCCAAUCACUUUAUAUGCUUUAUGUCUCAUUUAAUCCAUUAUAUAAAUAUUAUUUUUUAAAUUUGGGAAAUUGAGACUUCAGAGAGGUUAAGGAUCUUGCCCAGGUGAAACAGCUAGCAAACCUCCAAAAUCCAAGCUCCUAAUCUAAACCCAAUAAUAUAUUUGAUCUUACAGUCUGAAUGAAGCCCUAAAAAAAUCUGUUUAUGGAGAAAUUACCAUCAGGGAUCAUCUUGACCACUUAAUAUACAAGAAACUCAUGUUUCUACAAAAGAAUACCCA
rnacentral:lncRNA from 10 species